AAUGUCAGCGAUAACUAUAAUCGUUCUAAGGUACCGAAAUCCCUUGGCAUGUAAGUUAUGUCCCGCAGGAAUGGCGCAACGACUGGGGGACUGUCUCAACGAGGAGCCCGGUGAAAAUGCAGUGGUGGUGAAGAUGCCCCCUACCUGCGGCAAGACGAAAAGACCCCGGAAGCUUUACUGCAACUUGAUAUUGGCUUAAGGUUCUGGAUGCGUAGAAUAGGUGGGAGGCUUUGAAGUUCGCCUUUCGGGGCGGAUGGAGCCGUCAGUGAAAUACCACUCUUUCAGGACUUUAAAUCUAACCCCGAUGAUGAAAACGCCGGGGGACAGUGUCUGGCGGGCAGUUUUGGUGGGGCGCUAUCCUCCUAAAAUGUAACGGAGGAGUUUAUUAAGGUCGGCUAACUCCGGAUGGAAAUCGGAGUGAUAGGGUAAAGCCAUAAGCCGGCUUGACUGCAAGGCGUAUAUGCCGCGCAGCUACGAAAGUAUAACUUAGUGAACCGAUGGUUCUUUGUAGAAAGGCCAGAGAUUAUCAGACAAAAGCUACUCCGGGGAUAACAGGCUAGUCGCAUCCAAGAGUCCAUAUCGACGAUGCGGUUCGGCACCUCGAUGUCGGCUCAUCUUAUCCUGGGGCUGGAGAAGGUCCCAAGGGUUUGGCUGUUCGCCAAUUAAAAAGGUACGUGAGCUGGGUUCAAACCGUCGUGAGACAGGUUGGUCUCUAUCUGCCGCAGGCGUUGAUGCUUGAGGGAAGUCGCUCCUAGUACGAGAGGACCGGAGUGAACGAACCUCUGGUGUACGAGCUGUCCCGCCCGGGGCAUUGCUCGGUAGCUAUGUUCGGAAGGGAUAAGCGCUGAAAGCAUAUAAGCGCGAAGCCCCUCCCAAGAUUAGGCAUCGUUUAGAUCCGUGGGAGAUGACCACGUUGAUAGGCUGCAGGUGUAAGUCCGGCAACGGAUUAAGCCAAGCAGUACUAAUAGAUCGAAAUCU
rnacentral:rRNA from 1 species